UCAGCACAGCUGCACAGCCAGCUCUAAACUGUCACGAGUCCUGUUUCUGCUUCCUUUUUCUCAGAGUAAAUCUUGAGUCUCAAAUGCAAAAAGAGCCCCUGGCAGGCCUCCAUGUAAAAAUAUAACGAUAUAACUACUAUUUGUUAUUCAUAUAGGAGCAGAGGAGGGCCAUUGCUUUAUGACCAUGCAAUAAAACAGCACUGCUCCCCAUGUGCUUUGAAGCCCAGGACAUGAUCCAGUGGAGGUAGAAAAUGGGACUCCAGGCACAUAAAAGGGAUUGCUGCAGUGGAUCCCUUUGCAAAUACCAGACCUAAAUACACAACACACCUACAAAGCACAGGUACAGCUCCACAGUGGAAAAGGAGCCCAGCAUCCAGCUGCCUCCCUCAAGCAGAAGUGUUGCAGCAGAGGCAGCAGCACUCUGCCUCCCAUCCCAAAUGGAGCUGCCCCCCAGCAAGCCCAGCUGUCCUCAAGGAUGACACGGCUCUUCCAGGCUCUCACUUGCUCACACAGGGCUGAUCCAAAAAAGAUGUUGGCAGAAGAUGUUACAGACCUUUCAAAAUCUCUCUUCAUACUCUGGCACUUCCUCCUCUCCAUCCUCAGACAGGAAUUGCACAGGUCUGGACCUCAUUCCCCAGCUCUGGAGCCUAGCAGCAAGUCCUCCCAGUUACUCCUUCUAAAAACACUUACACCAAAGAAUUAAUUAACACUACAAAGUGAAAGUUGAUUAACACUACAAACUCUGAGCACCGUGUGCCAUGCACAAGGGUCACACACCCACUGCCCAGGCAGAGGAUGGGGUCCAGACUCCUCCUGGAAGCCCUAGUGGGUGAGGGGACAAGGCAUGUUAUCAGGAAAAGUAAUGGUUGUCUUUGGCAAAAAAGUCACAUAAUAUAAAUUUCUGUCCCUCUAAAUUCCUGAUAUGCAAGUCAUGGAAACAAAAAGACAUCGUUACUCUCCACUUCCAUGGAACUUUCAUCAGAAAAAUGGAAAGCACAUUUAAAAAAUAGGAAUAAGGACGUGGAGAGUCUUACUAAAGGUGUCUGAAAUCUCUGAGCACACCUGCCUGGCUGUGUUAGCACUGCUGGACCCAUGCUCUGGAGCUCAGCGAUGCUCAGGGACAAGGCAGUGCACCCACGGGGGGUUUUCUCCAGUCAGCAUUCACACAGCUGGAGCAAGGACACAGGAGGAAGUGCUGGUGGUCCUGAAUGCUUUGUUUGAGCAGCUGAGAGAUUUUUCUCCCAUGGUUUAUUGGAAAAGCAGAGUAGUGUGGCUGCUAACACACCACAAGGUCCCCACUGGGUGCUGAAGGUCUGCACCCAAGGGCGUGCCGGGGCAACUCUGACACGGCAGCCCGGCCUCUCUGGGACAGAAACCACCCUGUGCUGGACCUACAAGCACCCACAGCAAUCCUGACACUGCCCCCCGGGCCUGCCUGCCCAAACAACUCAGUAAGAACUCCCCCCUCCACACACCCAAGCAGAACCACACAUUUUUCCCAAGUGUUGAGCAAAUGUAACCUCUGUGUUUUAUACCUUUCACUCAUUGAUCAACGUGGUGUGUUUCUCUUUUGGACAAAUAGUCAUUACAUCUGAAAGUUUAUGGCUUGGCUUUGAAGUUAAUGUUCUCUGAGAUGAAGGAGAAAGUUCACACUUCUUCUAUUGCUUCCAGCCCUUCUGGCUGCACACCAGAUAAGAGAGUGAUGCCUUCAAUUUACAAGUGAUGACUAUUUUUGCAGGCAGAAAAGCUGAAAGACUUCUUAAUGUAAUAAUGGUUUGAAUAUUGCUAUAGUGCUCAGCAAAAUGCUGGAAAAGGAGGGAAGUGAGUUCCAGAAAACGUAUGGAUGCCUCAGACUGGCUAUUUCUCUAUUUACUGUCUCAUUUUCAUCUGAGGUUGCAUUUCCCUUCCUCCACUUUUUUGCUUUUGCAGCCACUCUGACCCAAGUUUGUCCACAAGCUGUCAUUUUCUGCAGGCAACCUUCCCGUGUGGAAGAAGAGCCUUCACAGCCAGGAAGUUUUCUUCUGCUUAACAUUAAGAGGUCUCUCCCUCUAAUUCUCCUUGAAUAGGUAAAGAAAAGGCAGCUUUAUGGCACACUCCAUUAACAGUAUAAGUUGGAGGGUGUUAAGGCAUCCAGUUCCUUCACACUUAUUUGGAAAUUGCAGCCUUGGUGUGACCUUUCAAGCCUCCUCCUUCCUACUGCAGCAUCAGCUCCUCCAGCCAUCACUGGGAGAAGGAUUUCAGGAGCUUUUAAGAGCAACCUGCAUAGAAUGCUUGGAGCCUGACUGUCACUGCCUGCAAGCCCCAGGGAGAGUAAAUAAGGCUGAAAGGGCUUUGGAGAGGGAUUGGGUCUUCCAGAGCUCCAUCAAGCCAGCUCUAGGAAGUCUCCAAAGAUGGCAGAGCCACCACCUGAGUAAAGGUGCCUGUGCUUGCUCACAUCCUGCUCUCCUGCCCACCAUGUCCCUCUAGACCUCUUCACUCAGAAGUGGCUUUUCCAUUUGACCCCACCCAUCACUGGACUGGACAAAAAAAGAGGUGCAAGGCAGACCUGUGUGUACCCCUCAGCAGGGGCUAUCUGAGCCCAUGCUAGUGAGAUGUGAAAUGUAGCUCUGACAAGAACUCCUGCAGAGUAUGCUCAGUAUUGCCAGCAUUUUGACACUGCUAAUGACUAGAUGCUUAUAUAAAUAAAUAAAUACCUUCUAAUAUGUGA